CGAACCGGGGGAAGUGAAACAUCUCAGUACCCCGAGGAAAAGACAUCAAAUGAGAUUCCCUAAGUAGCGGCGAGCGAACGGGGAUGAGCCCAAAAGUUGCGAAGGUUCUAGUGGAAGUCUCUGGGAAGGGACAGCAUAGAGGGUGAUACUCCCGUACACGACGGGGCCUUCGUGAUGAGCGUGAGUAGGGCGGGACACGUGAUAUCCUGUCUGAAGAUGGGGGGACCAUCCUCCAAGGCUA
rnacentral:rRNA from 1 species